rnacentral:lncRNA from 1 species
GAAAUUGAAAGCCAUAGAAACGAAAGAAAUCAAGACGGAUAUACUUUACCAACAUGAUUUUCCUCUCUUGCCAAGAGUUUACAAAGUCUACAUGUUUCCCUUGAUCUGAAAUCCAUCUAUCUAUGUUCGCAAGACGUGGUUGAGAGGAAGAGGAAGCUCUAGCUGUUCUGCGACGGUGCCUUCUUGAUUCAGCCAUGGAUGAAGAUUGAGAAAAUGAAACUUUAAGAAGGUGAAGAGAAAUGGAGAGGAUUUGAGCUCUAGAUUUGAUUUUAGCAGUAUUUGGGUGCAAAGGAGUGUCUAACAAUCGAUUAUGGGGGGC